UACAGAGGUCUCAAGCGUUGUUCGGAUUCCUUGGGCGUAAAGGGUGUGUAGGUGGCGCGCUAAGUCGGGUGUGAAAUUUCGGAGCUUAACUCCGAAACUGCAUUCGAUACUGGCGUGCUUGAGGACUGGAGAGGAGACUGGAAUUCAUGGUGUAGCAGUGAAAUGCGUAGAGAUCAUGAGGAAGACCAGGGGCGAAGGCGGGUCUCUGGGCCGUAACUGACGCUGAGGAGCGAAAGCGUGGGGAGCGAACAGG
rnacentral:rRNA from 1 species